CUUCUGAGAGUUCCCGAUGGCAAUAGAAACCCAGGCUCAGUCCCUAUUGACACGAACUGAAAUGAAGUCAGUUCCAUUCAAUUAAUUGGACUGCUUGGCAGCUAAGCCUCUUAUUUUUGUAGGGCCCCUUUUACAGCUUUGGAAGUUCCCACAUGGAAGGAAGGUUGAAUCAUUCUAUUCCUCACUUGACUUAUUUGGAUGUGAAGUCAUUUGGAAGGGGUUCAGGCACAAGCUGAUGCCGCUGGCUCGGGGCUCCAAGUUCUCAGGAGAGUGCCUGGAGAACAAGGUCAACACAGCCCAUUUCCAUGACUGCACACAAUGGCCCAACGGCACACCUAGCUAGUUCAUUUAUAAAGAACACCUGGUCCUGCUGGCGAGCUGAUUCAGGAGGGUAAGAGGGGAGAAACGAAUCUUUUCUGGGGCCAGAUUUUGCCUCUACAGCUUCGGUCCGGCUCCGUCUACUUCCGCCCCAAUGAGGAACAGAAUGAAAGUGGGUUUCAGCGUCAGAUUCCGGGCUUAGGUUAGGGGUUUCUGGAGCUCGCGGGAGGAGACAUUUUCUGGGAUGAGUUUGACUGCUGAGGACAGUCAUUUCAUGGAGAUUUUCAUCUGGCCACAGGAGAACGCACUGAGUUCAGAUAAGGCAAGAAAUGGAACCAGGGGGUGCUGGGUCUGGGGCAAAUCACACCCCGCGCCGAGCCAGCCCAAACAAUGUUCUACAGGUGAAAUCAAGUUGGAGCCAGGUCUGGAGCUGAAAGAAAUGAUGAACUGGAGGAUUUCUAUGUGA
rnacentral:lncRNA from 1 species